GUCAGGGCAGUGAGAAAGCAAAGAAAUAGAUGUGAACCUGAAGAGCUGUGGGUUGGAAAGAUAAAUAGCUUAUUUCAUUAGGAAAACUUUGAGAGACAUAGUAUUGCCAAAUUCUAGAAAGUGAGUCAGUCCUUAAACGUGGACUAAUUGUAGCCAUGCAUUGAAUGUAAUACACGUAUUUUAUCAUACAAAAUUUAUAAAAUUAACAAAUAUUAUAGUAAUAAAAUUUUUAACUUAUACAAUUAACAAAUGUUAUAAUAUGUAUUAAGAAAUUACUGUAUAACUAAUGGGUACUAGGCUUAAUACCUGGGUGAUGAAAUAAUCUGACAACAAACUCCCAUAACACAUAUUUAGCUAUGCAACAAACCUGCACAUGUACCCCUGCAAACUAUGUGUCCAUCAACAGAUGAAUGAAUAAAGAAUGUAUGAUAUCAUUCUCAGUAAACUAUCACAAGGACAAAAAACCAAACACCGCAUGUUCUCACUCAUAGGUAGGAAUUGAACAAUGAGAACUCUUGGACAGAGGAAGGGGAACAUCACACACCGGGGCCUGUUGUGGGGUAGGGGAAGAGGUGAGGGAUAGCAUUAGGAGAUAUACCUCAUGUAAAUGAUGAGUUAAUGGGUGCAGCACACCAACAUGGCACAUGUAUACAUAUGUAACAAACCUGCACGUUGUGCAUGUGUACCCUAAAACUUAAAGUAUAAUAGUAAAAAAAACCGUAUGAUACAUGUAUACAAUGGAGUACUAUUCAGCCAUAAAAAUGAAUGAGAUUCUGUCAUUUGCAUCAAUAUGGAUGGAACUGGGGGUCAUUAUGUUAAGUGAAAUAAGCCAGGCACAGAAAGACAAACUUCACAUGUUCUCUUAUUUGAGAAAGCUAAAAAUUAAAACAAACUCAAAAAAAAAAAAAGAAACUAACCACACACACACAAAAUGUGUUACACACUAUAUACAUGAUUCCACUUAAUCUUUACUGGUGCCUAGGAGGUAGAUGCAUUAGCAUUCUUAUUUUAUAUAUGAGAAAGCUCAGAUUUGGAAAGAUUCAUUAACUUAUUAUUUAAGUUAUAAUAACUUAAUAACUUAUUAUUUAAGUUAAAUGGCAGAGCCAGUCCUAAAAUGCUCCUCCACCUGACUUAAGAGUUUUGGGUCACACCUAACCAGAAAUUCUAACAAAGGGAAGCAAAUGUAAAAACAUAUGAACAUAAAACACAUGAACAUAUGAACAUGAGAUUCAAUGUCACAGGCAACAGAAUAAGAAAGUAGGUUGAUUCAGAACUCAGAUUUUAUCUUCUAGCACGGUGAUAAUAACAAAACACUUCCAGACACCUGACUUAGAACCAGAAUUUUUACACUCAAAAAUAAGCUAUAUCAAAUGUCCACUUAGACUCAUGUCAUUAUAGUAAUAAGCUAAUUUAUAAUCAUUGUUAAUUAUCAAAUUGUCAGAUGUUAAUACUACAACAGCAGCAACAAGAAUAAUAAACCACUCUCUACCAGGAAAAACUGACUCAUGCAGCCAAUACCAGGCUUGCUUCGUCAGGGUAUUGGCAUAUUAACAAUGAUGGAUGUGUAAGCAAAGAGCUGUAAAUCUGGAUGCAGGGACUCUUGAACAUCAACUAGAAGGAAGUGAGAUGAUCAAGUAUUUUUCUCUUGCCAGAUAUCAUUUCAUAUAUUCACUAAAAUAGUUCAUCAUCUGCUCUCUGAGGCAAUGAAGUUGCUUAAGUAAAAUUACUAUGGCUGCCCUAUUUAUUUCAGUUACACCCAGUUGAAAAAAUAAUUUAAUUUGAAGGAACUGAAUAUAAAUUUAUUCUUCCAUAUCUUUCUAUAAAAUAAAGGUCUAUUAAGGUCUUUAUAUUUUAAGUGUAACCUAAAAACUCCUAUUUUUUUUUCUGAUAACCACAAUUCUUGCCACAUGACAGCCUCAAAGAUGCUUUUGCUAGAAUAGCUAUAUGCCAAAAUGUUGGAUAUUUAAAAUACAGUUCUGCCUCUGACCUUCUUGUUGACACAAACCCUGUAACAUUUUUCUAAGAAUCAUUCUGAAUUCUGAUGCUGCUAAGAGUUAACAUUUAUUUCUCACUUUCGUUGUUUCCUUCCAUCUGAGUGACAUGCCUGGCCUCCCCAGCUUGAUUCAGAUUGUGAAUUCAUCAGAUUGGUAGAGUCUGGGAGACGACUAACUCUCCUGGCUGCCAGCCUGCCUGUGGUAGAGGUAAGAGCUGCAGAGACGGAAGGUGUGCUGAAAGAAAAAGAUUACCUUACCUAUUUUCCAGCUGCCUUGAGCAACAGUGAGGGACCACAUGUGCACUGUAUGGAUUAACUUGUAACAUCAGAGACAAGUACCCAAGUAUCAACAGCACAUAAAUUCAAGUCCGCAUGCAAUAGUCUUCACAACAUGCUAUGAGCUGGAGACCAAAAUGAGCAGAAACCCUAGUUUUGGAGAGAUGCAGUAACUUGCCCAAUCAUGGAAAGGCAGUCAAAGAACAAGAACUUAAAUUCAGGUCUAGUGAGUUGAAUGGCAGCCCCUGGAAAAGAUGAGUCCCUGUCUUAAUCCCCAGAACCUGUGAAUCUCCAGAAUGGAUAAAUGUUAUCUCAUAUGGCAAAAGAGUGACUAUUACCUUAUAUGACAAAAGGCAUGAUUAAAUUAAGCAUCUGGAGAGAAGGUGCUUAUCCUGGGUUAGCCACGCAUGUUCUAAAUGCAAUCACAUGUAUCCUUAUAAGUUAGACGGAGAGAGAAGCAGAGACCCACAGCAAACACCAUGUGAGGAUGGAAGCAGAGUUUGGAGUGAAGCAGCAACAAGCCAAAGAGUGCUGAGCACCACCUGAAACUGGAAGAGACAAGGAAUGGAGUCACCGUGAGAGCCUCUGGAGGGACUAAAACUUUGCCAGUGCCUUGAUUUUAGACCUCCAGGCUCCAGAACUGCAAGAGAGUUUGUAUUUUUGUAAGCCACCAGGUUGGUGGUAAUUUGCUUGGAAGCCACAGGAAACAGAUGCACCAUGUCUUCAGACACCCUUUCUGUGACACCAUUCAAGCUUCUUGACAUCAGAAUGCAAGGCUGCAGACCUGAGAAUGUACUCUAGACAUUCCUUAUGUCAAUGCAGACUUGGGGCCAGCCAUAACAACUUAAAAUCUAGGUCCUUCAGCCUAUAUAUGAAUUACUGUUCUUCAUAUUUGAUUCAAAAUGUUUCAACUAAUACUAAAGCAAACCUACAGGAGCAGAAACUCCUAAUUUCAUGGAAGAACCUCCCUUCUUUAUUGAGGGAAAUGGAAUUACCCAAGGAAAAGAUGAAAAGAAGUGAAAUGUUCCUUCCUUUGCUGCUCUCAUUGAAUCUACUUUGACACUGAAGAAGCAAAUUCUGCCACUGAUCUUUUUGCAUGCUUAGUAUUACGUCUGUACAAGUGAGGGUGAAUUUCGCCUAAAAGAUUUUAAGAUUCUUUCUAGCUCUAAGAGUCUCUGUAAUUAUUUUUCUUUUUCUCAAUAAAUAUGUGUUGAAUAAAAGAACAAAUCAACAAAUGAAAACAUUGCUAUACAUGGAGCCAAAGUCAUUAAGCCUAUUGUAUUAUAAUAACAAGUAUUUAAGCUAAAAAGAAUACGUGUCUUACCAAAAUAUGAUUCCCUGGGACAAUAACCCAAACAGAUGAUAAAUUGUUGCAGGAAGGCAGGGACCCCGAAUGGAGGGACCAGCUGAAGCCAUGGCAGAAGAAUGUGGAUUGUGAAGAUUUCAUGGACAUUUAUUAGUUCCCCAAAUUAAUACUUUUAUAAUUUCUUACACUUGUCUUUACUGCAAUCUCUGAACAUAAAUUGUGAAGAUUUCAUGGACGCUUAUCACUUCCCCAAUCAAUACCCUUGUGAUUUCCUAUGCUUGUCUUUACUUUAAUCUCUUAUUCCCAUCAUCUUCAUAAGCUGAGGAGGAUGUAUGUCGCCUCAGGACCCUGUGAUGAUUGCACUAACUGCACAAAUUGUUUGUAGAGCAUGUGUGUUUGAACAAUAUGAAAUCUGGGCACCUUGAAAAAAGAACAGGAUAACAGCAAUGUUCAGGGAACAAGAGAGAUAACCUUAAACUCUGACUGCCAGUGAGCCAGGCAAAACAGAGCCACAUUUCUCUUCUUUCAAAAGCAAGUGGGAGAAGUAUCUCUGAAUUGUUUUUCUCAGCAAGCAACAUCCCUGAGAAAGAGAAUGCAUCCCUGAGGGUAGGCCUCUGAAAUGGUCACUUUGGGGGCGGCUGUCUUUUAUGGUCACAGCUGUGGGAUGAAAUAAGCCCCAAUCUCCUGUGGUGCUCCCAGGCUUAUUAGGAUGAGGAAAUUCCCACCUAAUAAAUUUUAGUCAGACUGGUUGUCUGCUCUCAAACCCUGUCUCCUGAUAAGAUGUUAUCAAUGACAAUGCGUGCCUGAAACUUCAUUAGCAAUUUUAAUUUUGCCCCAGUCCUGUGGUCCUGUGAUCUCGCCCUGCCUCCAUUUACCUUGUGAUAUCUUAUUACCUUGUGAAGCAUGUGAUCUCUGUGACCCACACCCUAUUCGUACACUCCCUCCCCUUUUGGAAAUCACUAAUAAAAACUUGCUGGUUUUGUGGCUUGGGGGCAUCACGGAACCUGCCGAUAUGUGAUGUCUCCCCC
rnacentral:lncRNA from 10 species